rnacentral:rRNA from 1 species
GACGAACGCUGGCGGCGUGCCUAAUACAUGCAAGUGGGACGCAAGGGAACACACUGUGCUUGCACACCGUGUUUUCUUGAGUCGCGAACGGGUGAGUAACGCGUAGGUAACCUGCCUAUUAGCGGGGGAUAACUAUUGGAAACGAUAGCUAAUACCGCAUAAUAUUAAUUAUUGCAUGAUAAUUGAUUGAAAGAUGCAAGCGCAUCACUAGUAGAUGGACCUGCGUUGUAUUAGCUAGUUGGUAAGGUAAGAGCUUACCAAGGCGACGAUACAUAGCCGACCUGAGAGGGUGAUCGGCCACACUGGGACUGAGACACGGCCCAGUCUCCUACGGGAGGCAGCAGUAGGGAGUCUUCGGCAAUGGACGAAAGUCUGACCGAGCAACGCCGCGUGAGUGAAGAAGGUUUUCGGAUCGUAAAGCUCUGUUGUAAGUCAAGAACGUGUGUGAGAGUGGAAAGUUCACACAGGAC